rnacentral:rRNA from 1 species
UAGUGGAGCUGGGNNNNNUAAAGCACCGGAUCCCAUCAGAACUCCGAAGUUAAGCGUGCUGAGUAGUACUAGGAUGGGUGGCCUCCUGGGAAGUCCUCGUGUUGCAUUCC